rnacentral:tRNA from 1 species
UGCGGGCCUCGUCCAGGACCUGCUCGCUGUCGGCGAGCGCGGCGUUGCGCAGCGCCUCGGCGUGCGCCUCGCCGUCCCGCUU